rnacentral:rRNA from 1 species
GGUGAACGCUGGCGGUAGGCCUAACACAUGCAAGUCGAACGGCAGCACAGUAAGAGCUUGCUCUUACGGGUGGCGAGUGGCGGACGGGUGAGGAAUACAUCGGAAUCUACUUUUUCGUGGGGGAUAACGUAGGGAAACUUACGCUAAUACCGCAUACGACCUACGGGUGAAAGCAGGGGAUCUUCGGACCUUGCGCGAUUGAAUGAGCCGAUGUCGGAUUAGCUAGUUGGCGGGGUAAAGGCCCACCAAGGCGACGAUCCGUAGCUGGUCUGAGACGAUGAUCAGCCACACUGGAACUGAGACACGGUCCAGACUCCUACGGGAGGCAGCAGUGGGGAAUAUUGGACAAUGGGCGCAAGCCUGAUCCAGCCAUACCGCGUGGGUGAAGAAGGCCUUCGGGUUGUAAAGCCCUUUUGUUGGGAAAGAAAAGCAGCAGGUUAAUACCCCGCUGUUCUGACGGUACCCAAAGAAUAAGCACCGGCUAACUUCGUG